UACGAAGGGGGCUAGCGUUGCUCGGAAUCACUGGGCGUAAAGGGUGCGUAGGCGGGCAUUUAAGUCAGGGGUGAAAUCCUGGAGCUCAACUCCAGAACUGCCUUUGAUACUGAAGAUCUUGAGUUCGGGAGAGGUGAGUGGAACUGCGAGUGUAGAGGUGAAAUUCGUAGAUAUUCGCAAGAACACCAGUGGCGAAGGCGGCUCACUGGCCCGAUACUGACGCUGAGGCACGAAAGCGUGGGGAGCAAACAGG
rnacentral:rRNA from 1 species